rnacentral:rRNA from 1 species
AUGAAGGCCCUUAUCGUUAUGGCUCCUACAGAGGCUCCGGUACAAGAGGGAGAGAAGAGGAAGGAAAGAGUCAUAACCGGAGCUCCUUUCACGUGGAUUGCAGCGAACUUUGCACAUUGCCCUGAGGAUGCUACUGAUGAUGUGAUCCAGACACAUGCUUGUGUCUACAUGUGGUACGUUAUCUCCAGGACUUUGUUUGCUGACGCCAUAUGCAAGAACGCUCCAUGGAUGUGGCUUAAGGCAUUGACUGUCUUCGACAACCAAUGGAGUUGGGGUUUAGCGGAAUUGGCCUACUUGUACCGACAGGUAGUUGGUUGGUUUGUUUUCACUUCAAUUCUACAUUACGAAUGCAACCUUGCUUUUAAGUGA